rnacentral:piRNA from 1 species
UCGGAAAGCAAUAGAGUAUGCACCAAUC